GAUGAACGCUGGCGGCGUGCCUAAUACAUGCAAGUCGAGCGAACGGACGAGAAGCUUGCUUCUCUGAUGUUAGCGGCGGACGGGUGAGUAACACGUGGAUAACCUACCUAUAAGACUGGGAUAACUUCGGGAAACCGGAGCUAAUACCGGAUAAUAUUGUGAACCGCAUGGUUCAAAAGUGAAAGACGGUCUUGCUGUCACUUAUAGAUGGAUCCGCGCUGCAUUAGCUAGUUGGUAAGGUAACGGCUUACCAAGGCAACGAUGCAUAGCCGACCUGAGAGGGGGAUCGGCCACACGGGAACUGAGAAACGGUCCAGACUCCUACGGGAGGCAGCAGUAGGGAAUCUUCCGCAAUGGGGGAAAGCCUGACGGAGCAACGCCGCGUGAGUGAUGAAGGUCUUCGGAUCGUAAAACUCUGUUAUUAGGGAAGAACAUAUGUGUAAGUAACUGUGCACAACUUGACGGUACCUAAUCAGAAAGCCACGGCUAACUACGUG
rnacentral:rRNA from 1 species